UGGGGAAUUUUCCGCAAUGGGCGAAAGCCUGACGGAGCAAUGCCGCGUGGAGGAAGAAGGCCCGUGGGUCGUAAACUCCUUUUCUCAGAGAAGAAAUUCUGACGGUAUUUGAGGAAUAAGCAUCGGCUAACUCUGUGCCAGCAGCCGCGGUAAUACAGAGGAUGCAAGCGUUAUCCGGAAUGAUUGGGCGUAAAGCGUCUGUAGGUGGCUUAUAAAGUCCCCUGUUAAAUGUUAGGGCUUAACCCUGAAAAAGCAGUGGAAACUUAUAGGCUUGGGUACGGUAGGGGCAAAGGGAAUUCCCGGUGUAGCGGUGAAAUGCGUAGAGAUCGGGAAGAACACCAAUGGCGAAAGCACUUUGCUGGGCCGAAACUGACACUGAGAGACGAAAGCUAGGGGAGCAAAUGGG
rnacentral:rRNA from 1 species